UACGGGGGGGCAAGCGUUGUUCGGAAUUACUGGGCGUAAAGGGCUCGUAGGUGGCCAACUAAGUCAGACGUGAAAUCCCUCAGCUUAACUGGGGAACUGCGUCUGAUACUGGAUGGCUUGAGUUUGGGAGAGGGACGCGGAAUUCCAGGUGUAGCGGUGAAAUGCGUAGAUAUCUGGAGGAACACCGGUGGCGAAGGCGGCGUCCUGGACCAACACUGACACUGAGGAGCGAAAGCCAGGGGAGCAAACGGG
rnacentral:rRNA from 1 species